UACGUAGGGGGCAAGCGUUGUCCGGAUUCAUUGGGCGUAAAGAGCGUGUAGGCGGCCAGGUAGGUCGGUUGUGAAAACUGGAGGCUCAACCUUCAGAGGUCGACCGAAACCAUCUGGCUUGAGUUCGGGAGAGGGAAGCGGAAUUCCGGGUGUAGCGGUGAAAUGCGUAGAUAUCCGGAGGAACACCGGUGGCGAAGGCGGCUUCCUGGACCGACACUGACGCUGAGGCGCGAAAGCUAGGGGAGCAAACGGG
rnacentral:rRNA from 1 species